rnacentral:rRNA from 1 species
GACGAACCGUGCGAACGUUGUUCGGAAUCACUGGGCUUAAAGGGCGCGUAGGCGGUCUGCCAAGUCCGGGGUGAAAGCCCCCAGCUCAACUGGGGAAGUGCCUUGGAUACUGGCGGACUCGAGGGAGGCAGGGGUUGUGGGAACUUCCGGUGGAGCGGUGAAAUGCGUUGAGAUCCACAGGAACUCCGGUGGCGAAGGCGGCGUGCUGGACCCGUCCUGACGCUGAGGCGCGAAAGCCAGGGGAGCGAACGGG